AACGUACGCUGGCGGCACGCCUAACACAUGCAAGUCGAACGAAGUAGCAAUACUUAGUGGCAGACGGGUGAGUAACAUGUAGGUAUCUGCCCUUUGGCCUGGAAUAACACGAGGAAACUUGUGCUAAUACCGGAUAAGUCUUUACGGAGAAAGCUUUAUGCACCAUUGGAUGAGCCUGCACUUGAUUAGUUUGUUGGUGGGGUAAUGGCCUACCAAGACUGUGAUCAAUAGCUGAUUUGAGAGGAUGAUCAGCCACAUUGGGACUGAGACACGGCCCAAACUCCUACGGGAGGCAGCAGUGGGGAAUCUUGCACAAUGGAGGAAACUCUGAUGCAGCGAUGCCGCGUGAGUGAAGAAGGCCCUUGGGUUGUAAAGCUCUUUCGUCGGGGAAGAAAAUGACUGUACCCGAAUAAGAAGGUCCGGCUAACUUCGUGCCAGCAGCCGCGGUAAUACGAAGGGACCUAGCGUAGUUCGGAAUUACUGGGCUUAAAGAGUUCGUAGGUGGUUGAAAAAGUUAGUGGUGAAAUCCCAGAGCUUAACUCUGGAACUGCCAUUAAAACUUUUCAGCUAGAGUAUGAUAGAGGAAAGCAGAAUUUCUAGUGUAGAGGUGAAAUUCGUAGAUAUUAGAAAGAAUACCAAUUGCGAAGGCAGCUUUCUGGAUCAUUACUGACACUGAGGAACGAAAGCAUGGGUAGCGAAGAGGAUUAGAUACCCUCGUAGUCCAUGCCGUAAACGAUGUGUGUUAGACGUUGGAAAUUUAUUUUCAGUGUCGCAGGGAAACCGAUAAACACACCGCCUGGGGAGUACGACCGCAAGGUUAAAACUCAAAUGAAUUGACGGGGACCCGCACAAGUAGUGGAGCAUGUGGUUUAAUUCGAAGAUACGCGCAGAACCUUACCAACACUUGACAUGUUCGUCGCGACUCUAAGAGAUUAGAGUUUUCGGUUCGGCCGGACGAAACACAGGUGCUGCAUGGCUGUCGUCAGCUCGUGUCGUGAGAUGUUGGGUUAAGUCCCGCAACGAGCGCAACCCUCACUUUUAGUUGCCAUCAUUAAGUUGGGCACUCUGAAAGAACUGCCAGUGAUAAGCUGGAGGAAGGUGGGGAUGACGUCAAGUCCUCAUGGCCCUUACGUGUUGGGCUACACACGUGCUACAAUGGUAUCUACAACAGGAAGCAAGACUGCGAAGUUAAGCAAAUCCCUAAAAGAUACCUCAGUUCGGAUUGCACUCUGCAACUCGAGUGCAUGAAGUUGGAAUUACUAGUAAUCGUGGAUCAGCGUGCCACGGUGAAUGCGUUCCCGGGUCU
rnacentral:rRNA from 1 species